UCGUAAUGUCUGCACUGAAGACGUA
rnacentral:piRNA from 4 species